rnacentral:rRNA from 1 species
CGUGUAGGCGGCUGGAUAAGUCAGAUGUGAAAGCCCUGGGCUUAACCCGGGAAGUGCAUUUGAAACUGUUCAGCUUGAGUAAGGGAGAGGAAAGUGGAAUUCCUGGUGUAGAGGUGAAAUUCGUAGAUAUCAGGAGGAACACCGGUGGCGAAGGCGACUUUCUGGCCCUAUACUGACGCUGAGACGCGAGAGCGUGGGUAGCAAACA